rnacentral:piRNA from 1 species
UAUGAAGUUGAAUGGGCAUUU